GUCUACAGCCAUACCACCUAAUGCGCCUGAUCUCAGAAGCUAAGUGGGAUCGGGCCUGGUUAGUACUUGGAUCAGAGAAAAGGCUGAAUUUAAACAUAAUUAUAGGUAAUAGUAAAAU
ensembl:rRNA 5S_rRNA 5S ribosomal RNA